GUUGAAAGUUUAAACUAGUCUACAUAUACUACAAAGUAAGUGUAAAACUGUGUUGCAGAAAUUCUUCAUUCUCAUUUCAAAGAAGGAAUAAGGUAUUUUAAGGAGCAAUUUAACCCCUUUUAUAAAUAAAUUACAAAUGUUUGCUUUGUAAACGUUAGACAAAAUGCAAUAUUUCUUAGGACUCUGAGUAUUUUCAUUUGUUAGUUAAAUGCUGAAAAUGUGUUUUUUUUUCAUACCACACAAAAAACAUGAUUUUGAUAUCAACUUUUAACUGUUGUAUUAUUUAUAUCAUUCCACAAACAAAACCAGUGAUUUAUUUUAAACACACCACUCUCUAAUUUAUAUAUAUUUCUUAGAUUAACUUAUCUCUUUGUUUUGAAAAGUAAUUGAAAUUCCUGAUACAAAAAAAAAAGAAUUUUUGGAAAAUGCCAAAUUUUGAGGGUAACAGUUAAUUAAAUAUUUAAUGCACCAUGUUCUCUCAAAACUAAAAAGUUUUAAUAUUUAAGAGUAUCAAGGGACAUUUCUUGACACAUCGUGUCCUUUGUUAUUACAUCUUAUGUCCGUCCAUUUAUUUUUAUUGUCUGUGAUAUGUACAGGAC
rnacentral:lncRNA from 1 species